AUUAAAUUAGGAUUUCUCUAGAACCAAUGCAAUAGUUGUAGAUAGUCAAGUCCAUAUCUUUGAUUAGACCAAAUGGACCUUGAUUAUGGCUUAAUGAUUGAAUCCAAAUCAUUAGAUUGGUCAAAUCGAAACUAAUUAAUCAAUUGAUGUCUAAGAUAAGUUUGACAUUUCGAUCGAUGAUUUUUAAUUGAGGGUGAUUUAUCUGACUAUUUUGAUGGUGUCUAAGACAAGCUUAGCAAAUCCUUCCAUCAAUCUCACUUACCUGGCUAAUUUGAUGAAUUAUAUCUUGAUU
rnacentral:lncRNA from 1 species